rnacentral:tRNA from 1 species
GUUUUUAUAAUUUAAUAAAAAAUAUUGGUCUUGUAAACCAAAAAUGAAAAAAUUCUAAAAACA